GUGUCAGCAGCCGCGGUAAUACGGAGGGUGCAAGCGUUAAUCGGAAUUACUGGGCGUAAAGCGCUCGUAGGCGGUUUGUUAAGUCGGAUGUGAAAGCCCCGGGCUCAACCUGGGAACUGCAUUCGAUACUGGCAAACUAGAGUAUAGAAGAGGCAAGUGGAAUUCCGGGUGUAGCGGUGAAAUGCGUAGAUAUCCGGAGGAACAUCAGUGGCGAAGGCGACUUGCUGGUCUAAUACUGACGCUGAGGAGCGAAAGCGUGGGGAGCAAACGGGAUUAGAAACCCGGGUAGUCC
rnacentral:rRNA from 1 species